AAGUCGAGCGAACUGAUUAGAAGCUUGCUUCUAUGACGUUAGCGGCGGACGGGUGAGUAACACGUGGGCAACCUGCCUGUAAGACUGGGAUAACUUCGGGAAACCGAAGCUAAUACCGGAUAGGAUCUUCUCCUUCAUGGGAGAUGAUUGAAAGAUGGUUUCGGCUAUCACUUACAGAUGGGCCCGCGGUGCAUUAGCUAGUUGGUGAGGUAACGGCUCACCAAGGCAACGAUGCAUAGCCGACCUGAGAGGGUGAUCGGCCACACUGGGACUGAGACACGGCCCAGACUCCUACGGGAGGCAGCAGUAGGGAAUCUUCCGCAAUGGACGAAAGUCUGACGGAGCAACGCCGCGUGAGUGAUGAAGGCUUUCGGGUCGUAAAACUCUGUUGUUAGGGAAGAACAAGUACAAGAGUAACUGCUUGUACCUUGACGGUACCUAACCAGAAAGCCACGGCUAACUACGUGCCAGCAGCCGCGGUAAUACGUAGGUGGCAAGCGUUAUCCGGAAUUAUUGGGCGUAAAGCGCGCGCAGGCGGUUUCUUAAGUCUGAUGUGAAAGCCCACGGCUCAACCGUGGAGGGUCAUUGGAAACUGGGGAACUUGAGUGCAGAAGAGAAAAGCGGAAUUCCACGUGUAGCGGUGAAAUGCGUAGAGAUGUGGAGGAACACCAGUGGCGAAGGCGGCUUUUUGGUCUGUAACUGACGCUGAGGCGCGAAAGCGUGGGGAGCAAACAGGAUAAAACGC
rnacentral:rRNA from 1 species